UGAACGCCAGUAUAUGGAUAUAGGAGUUGGGCACCAGUUGUGCGAAGCCUACUCCAAUAAACCCUAAGAGGGUAACUAUGAAGGCGUGGAGGGGUAGACGAAUCCCCUUCUCCAGCAGAGUAGUCGGCAUAGCGACCCAGCCGUCUGGUCGCUGGUACAUUCGCUCCUCAGCAGCUGGAGCCCUCAUAGCAAAGUUAUCCGGAACAUGGUAUCGAAUCCGGAGAGCUCGUAGUUCAGAUUCAGAGACGGUGGAGGUGAUGUUAGCGUGAGGAAAUUUUUCCCCAUCUUUGAAGAAAUCAGAUGGAGAUGGUGAACCUGCACUUGAACCCUCUUGAUUAGGGUUUGAAUGAGAAGAAC
rnacentral:lncRNA from 1 species